UUCCUUGAAUAUUGUAACAAAAUACACUGCACCUUCAGUAACAGUGUGUCUGAAAUGUAUUUUUGCUGCAGACUAUUAUCUGAGCAUCUUGCAUGUUUGAGUUCUACAAAUAUGAAAACUGUGGGCAGAGCACCCCCUGCAGAGAGGUGACCCCUCGUGUCCUAUGGAUGGGGACAUCCUAAAGAGACCACUCAUUUCAGUCUCUUUUUCCUCAGGAUCGACAAGAGGAUAUGGAGGUUUGUUGGAGGACAAGGAGCUGUUUUCAGAGAUUGAGGAGAGGGGACACACCAUCUAUGGCCUCGUGGGUGGAGCUGCCUGGCCUGUACAGGAGACUUUUUUUAUUUUUUUUUUUAUUCUUAUUAACCACCUUAAAAUUUGAAGCCCAACAUAAAACAGUGCCUGAGGUUACACAAACAAAUAGUUUCAAUCUUAACAGGCAGUUUUGUUAUUUUUAAUCUGCAGGGACUAAUUCACUACUUCUGACCAGUAAUGGAUAUGCACAGCCCAGCAUAAUGACGCAAACCCUCCGAGAGCCAGAAACUGACUCUUUUUCAGAAUUGUCUUUCAAUACAGUAUUACUACAUUACUUUUUGAACAUUUUAAAAUAAAUUUUAUUCUUCUACAGUGCACAGCUACUUUCAAGUUUAAACAUUGCAAAACAGGCAGUUUAAGUUUUGUGUGUGGAUAAGUUGUCUGUUUUUGUAACGUAAAUUCCGUAGCAGGAUCACUUAAUCCACUCUGUAUUUUGACAGGCAAAAGUGUUAGGAAUUAAUUGGGAGUUGUGACAGUGAUUUAGCUACUGAUUUCUUCAGCAAAUGUGACAGGACAAUUUUGCAGGGAAAACACAACCUCAAAUGUAUCAAUAAAUUAAGUUUAUUCAGUAUGUUUCCAUACAUGUUUAAUGAUCUGUCCAAAAAGACCAGAAUAGGAAAGGGACAUAUCACUAGCUCCAAAAAAAGAAAAGGCAAAAAUUCUCAGUGAUUGAAUGACAUACACCAUCAUUGUCAUGUUGAUACUGCUUCUACAAGAACACUGUUCAAACACUUCACCUAGGAUAGGUUAUCAUUCCAUUAAAAAUAAAACUGAGGCAGAGUAUCUGCCUAUCAUCCACAAAAUAAUUUGGAGUAUCAGUCUGCUCAGAAAAAAGAAGUUUCCACAACAUUAGUAUGUUGAUUUGGAUUGAAGUACUAAAAUAAUGCUAAGACCAACACAAGCUGUUAAGAAUUAUCCAUGUGAUGUG